rnacentral:lncRNA from 1 species
UGACGUUUCAAUACGAACAGGUACAAGCGAGGCUAAGAUGGAAGGCUGUUCAGGUGAGUUUGUGUCAGAGACACUAAUUCUUAUUUGGUUUAUUUCCCUGUCGUACCUUUCACUUGACCCCGCCCGGCGUUGAACUGGUGCAUUUGUCAACAUGUCCGUGAUAGUCACCCUCUCUGGGAUAAAGAUAUCGGUGAAAGUCCUGUGUGCUUAAUCGUAAUUAAGGAUGACUAACGACUCGUUGGAUAUAUUUUAACGAUGACUGUAAGGCCGUAUGACGUUUUUAUAUAUCGCCUUUAUUGGAAUACAUGCACUGACAGCUGCACACAUCUCUGAAAAGGAUGAGUAGUGAAUAUUUAAAGAUACAGUCGGGGCUCUGCUCGGGAAUUGAUGAUAACGCCCCGUUUUGUUGGAGGAAUCGAGGGCUGUGUGGGUCAUCCAAGAUGGUUUUUAUCCAGAAAAGAACCAGGAAGAGGUGGAGGACGGAUUCUUCUCUGCCCACACCUCUCCCGAGUUAACUUUUUUUAUAAAAAAAAACUAUGAUUAAUGGAAUGAAAGUGUUUAUGAUUAAUUACCUAUCAGUGCAGCUUUUGUGUUAUCUUGGUGUGGUUUGCUACCUUUCUAUCAACGACAAGGACAGUUUACUUGGAAGAUCAGAUGUCCUUUGGUGACGGUGGGCGACUCGAGUUUGUGAAAGAGGCGUGGGAAGGAUUUUACCUCCCAGGACCUUGGAAACAAAAUAUAGAUCUACUGCCUCACUUAUAUAAGCACGAAGAUGGGCGAAGCUAGAAUAAAAAAAAAUAUGGGUAUCGAUUUUUCCCCCUCUAUAAACACGCAUUUCUUGGAUAAAACUUCACACUUCAGUCGCUAUGCUAUUCUACCAAGUAAUGCGAGUGCUGGAGGACCUUUUUUUGUUUGCUCUUAUUUCCCAGUCGAGUUUUGGGAGGAAGAAACAUUUUAGUAGAUAUCCACACUACUAUAUUCCCGGAAGCGAUUGCACUCGCGAGACGAAAUGCUUGGAUACAUUUUGGUGCGAAUUAUUGAAGGAAAAACUAUAUGCCAUAUAUUUGCUGCCGUGAAUGAUUAUCGUGGCUCGUUUUAUUCCGCCCAAAAACAAAAAAUUUUUAAUGCCCAUUGCCUACCAAACUUAUAGUGGAAAAUUAGGUAGCGAUGAAAAUUAGAUUUUGGAGUUCAGAUGUACCUGAUACCCUUGACAUGUUUGUGAAAUUUUAGAUCGCUUUAAUAGGUUCGAAAUAUUUUUAUCAUUAUUUUAUGUUGCUAGAGCGAGAAUGCGUUACGGCAUGCUGUUUGUUUUGAUUCUGUGCCAUUCAGAAGGAUCAAAGGUGAGUUAAACCCAAACGUCUUCGAUGACCAUUUUACGACUUCGGAAAUCGUGAUUUGUUUUUAUGUGGAACUAUAAAUCGUGGUUACAGUAAGGUGUGGUUCCAUAAAUUAUCGUUAAAUUUUAUAUUAGUAAAUAGCGGUUUAAAUCUUUGCUACUCGGAAUGAGCAAUUAUAAAGAAGCGUGGGUACACAAAAACAAAAAAACACUUGUUAAUGGCUAGAAAUCUAGAAAUGCAUUGCAGUAAACGAGGUCAUAGUGGUCUCAAUACAAACUGCUGUAGUACUUAGACCAGCUGGCCUGCGUGGGGGAACGGAUUGCGAGCAGAAUAGUCUCAUUUCCGAGCCGACUACAUAACAUCUGCUCUAGUAAAGGAUAUGUUUGUCAUACGCUUAGCAAACACAGGCCCGUUAUGGCAGAAGCGGACAUUUUGUAAGGGCAAAACUAGUCUGUGGGUGUCUGGAAGACUGCCAAUUACCCCGCUUUUUAUUUUUCUCUCCUUUAAAAACGUUUCCGAGCGCUGGCUUUGUGUUUAAAUCGCCAUAUUUCUUUUUUUAAACCCAUUGAGAACUUGUUGAACAUUUUUCGAUUUACGAACUUUAAAUUGGGAGCGUGGUCAUUUAACAUCGAUUUUUUUUUCCUUCCAUUUUGGAGUGGAGCGAAAGCGAUACUCAUCUUCGGUAGAGGUUCUUAUCUCGAAUGGCAUUUCUCUCAGAUCAUCCAUUUAUAUUCGACUUUAAAAGUUUUAUCUAGGUAACAGUUUCGAAAUAACAUCGUCCGGUGCAUUAAAGUAAUGACUCAUUUAAUGAUUUUUUAAUUUCCGCACGCGUUAUCGAGGGUUUUAUCCAGCACAAUACGUGGAAGAAUUGCUGUAUCGGGAACUUCAGAAAUGGGCGGGGUAAGGUACCAAUCUGGUAUCGAUAAUUAAGAGGGUGUCCGCAUAUCGGGCGCGUGAUGCAAUGAGCCCGUACGACAGUUUAUCUAAUAAUACACUUUGUAUUCUUCCUCGAUAGUAGCAUCGGGUGCUUUUGCAGUAUUUAUGCGCCCCAUUUUCUGAUUACUUCUCUCCGUUGCGAUUAUCAUAGCUUCUCGCACGUUAAUCGUAUGAUAGAUGAUCCGGUCGCUCUGUAAUAAUAGAUGAGAUUAUCUGUUUAGUAGUUAAGGUAUAAUACAGAAGACAGACAGGCUGGCAACUGCAGGGCGUGGCCUUCAAGACGUAAAAUGCCCAACUUCCGUGGGAUAAUUACAUGCACGUCGGGUUUUUUAUCUCGUGUUUUGACAUAUCUGUGACCACGUCGCCGAGUCACCUUUCAAAAAUCAAUAGAAAAGAUAUGUAGCGAUUUAUAUCCAACCUAGCGCUAUUUGCGGUCGACCAACUUUUUUUUUUUUCGUCAGGCUCUCGGGAGUUGCGCAGGCUCUUGCCUUUUUUUUCUGUUCCUCUCCCUCCCUACACAUCCUGAUUCUAUUUUUCCCUCGUCAUAAGAGGAAGGACACGGGAAAUGGUUGAUCACAGGAUAUUUUAUUAUUAGUCCAUUUUAUUAUACGUCUGCUCUUCCAGGGAUUUUUUCGUCCUCUUUUCCCCACUCUCUCCGCCACACAAGAUAUAUUUAGUUUUUCCCCGUCUCCUUUUUAAAAUUAUCGCUGGCUUUAUAUAAACAUUUGCACUCUUUUUCGGUUUGGUUGCAAGGACUCUGAGCAGUAGGUCGUCGACGAAAGACGUCCUCGUAUUGUCUUUCAUUGAAAAAGUCUAGAGUUUUUAAACAUUUUCGGAUGAUCAAAUACACCAGGAAGUGUAUUUUUUAAUUGUUAUGCUAAUAAAAAUUUUCUUGAAGGACUGGUGUUUUCAUUCGUUAACAUGUCUAUUUUCAGUAGCUUAGUUUAUAAACCCGUGUCUAGCGAGACACAAGAGUGCCUUUGUAAUUUUUUGAACUGCUUUCAUUUGUAGUUCAUUGGCUCACGUCCAGCGCGCACAAAAAAAAAAAAAAAAAAAAGGGAGUUGUUGACAAAUACGACAUGCUUCGAAGUUUAUAUGGUCUAGAUAGAAAAUCAAAGAAAUCACGGCACAAGAUAUUUUGGGGAUAUAUUGACAUAACAGUAGUUAAUACCUACAUAAUUUAUUGUCAACUUGAAGAGAAAAUUCCUCUGUUGCAGUCUCGAAGAAACCUUACAAGGAGCCUUAUGGCAAUUGGCUAAAAAUCUACUGGUAAAGGAGGAAGAAAAUCUGAUGACAUAUUACAAAAAAGAAGAAAGACAAGUUAUUCAGUUCCUGUUGAUGUCAGACUUUCACAGAGAGGAAAUCACUGGCCAAUAUUUUUGCAGAAAUGAGGAAGAUGUGAAGUAUGCUCAAAAAAUUCAAUAGAAUCAAGACCAUUUAGUAUUUGUAAAACAUGUAAUGUUCAUCUCUGUGUAGAUGCAAACAAGUAUUGUUUUUAACGUAUCAUGAAACAGAUGAAAAUUGAAUACUUUUUUCUCAUAGUAGUCUAAAAGCAAACAAAUAUAUGUUUACUGCCUGAUGGGACUUCUAAGUCCCAUUUAAUGAUUAUGUAAUUAUAUGGUAAUUAAUGAUUAUGUAUUGAUAUGGUCUAGAUAGAAAAUCAAAGAAAUCAUGGCAAAAGAUAUUUUGGGGAUAUAUUGACAUAACAGUAGUUAAUACCUACAUAAUUUAUUGUCAACUUGAAGAGAAAAUUCCUCUGUUGCAGUCUCGAAGAAACCUUACAAGGAGCCUUAUGGCAAUUGGCUAAAAAUCUACUGGUAAAGGAGGAAGAAAAUCUGAUGACAUAUUACAAAAAAGAAGAAAGACAAGUUAUUCAGUUCCUGUUGAUGUCAGACUUUCACAGAGAGGAAAUCACUGGCCAAUAUUUUUGCAGAAAUGAGGAAGAUGUGAAGUAUGCUCAAAAAAAUUCAAUAGAAUCAAGACCAUUUAGUAUUUGUAAAACAUGUAAUGUUCAUCUCUGUGUAGAUGCAAACAAGUAUUGUUUUUAACGUAUCAUGAAACAGAUGAAAAUUGAAUACUUUUUUCUCAUAGUAGUCUAAAAGCAAACAAAUAUAUGUUUACUGCCUGAUGGGACUUCUAAGUCCCAUUUAAUGAUUAUGUAAUUAUAUGGUAAUUAAUGAUUAUGUAUUGAUAUGGUCUAGAUAGAAAAUCAA